AGAACGGCUCAGAGAGAACUGCUUGGAGAACUGUCUAGAGCAGAAUGUGGAGAGAGCUUCUGGAGAUCUCCAGAGGAAGCCGAUCAGAGAGAAAGAAAGCAGAACACAGAGAAGGCAGGCUGCAAAGCUGUCUCCAGCAGAGCAUAGGCCGCCAGCUUCCAGCACUGCUUCCAGACACCCCUGCCUCAGAGCCCUCUCCACGCCAAGGCUGGCCCUUGGCAGCCACCAAGGUGAAUCUUUUUUUUUUAAGAUUUAUUUAUUUAUUUAUUUAAUGUAUAUGAGUACGCUGAUGCUGCAGACACACCAGAAGAGGACAUCAGAUCCCUUUACAGAUGUUUGUGAGCCAUCAUCUGGUUGCUGGGAUUUGAACUCAGGACUCCUGGAAGAGCAGCCAGUGCUCUUGACCGCUGAGCCAUCUCUCCAGGCCCACCAAGAAAUAAAUCCACUGGCAUGCUGAACAAGAAAUGUUCUCAUUCUCUGUAGGAGUUCCUUCUUUUACACUGUCAAGUACCAGGGCUCUCUGCCUUUUGGAGUGAGUUCAGCCACCAUGUCAUCAAUGACUGUAGGUCUGUGCUCCCAGGGCCAGCUUGGAGCUGUCAUAAACGGGAAAACUACCAUCAAGAUGUGCCAAUAUGAGACUAAGGUAAAAGUCCAGGAGAAAGACACUUAUUUAAGGCUAACGGCAGAUGGAUGCAGAAUGUUGGCUUACUGCACCUCAGCUGGAGUCCACGUCGAGUUAUGAGUCACAUGCUCUGUGUGGAUCCUGGAAUAGCUGACUGACGAGUAGCUGACUUCCUGAGCACAGAAUCUGAAGGUAACAAGGAUCUGUUGUGCUGCUGUCAACCUAAGCGAUGUUUACAGAUGCUGACUUGAUAGAACUUGAGAAAAGACAUUUGUCCUGGAAGACAGCAGCCUGCUGGCUCUGACUGCUGGUGGCUGGAUGUCACUGGCUACUUAUUAUUGGGAGUGAUCAGAUGUCACUCUGGCACCUGGAGCCGUCUGAACGCAAGCAGAGGGAGCAAUUUGAGUCCCACUCAACAGUGCUCCACACGUGGCCUGUAAUCUUGUUUCGGCUCACUGGAAAUCAGUAUCCUUUCUGCAGUCCAGUUUAGCGCAGUGAAAUUCAUCAGUGAUGUGGUCGGCAGGGCUUGGAGACGCACGACUGGCUAAAGUGCCGAGAAGUACGCAAGUCACUGCAGCCCUAAAUGGGGUGUAUCUACAUCAUACCCUCUCUCCCUCAAACCUCAGGGAGUUUUCAAGAGAGGGGUGGAAAGACUCUAAGAUCCAGAGGUCAGGAAGCACUGCUGUACAAUGCCGUCUCCUGGACGUGACAGAUCGUCCAUCGCACUCACGAGCUAAGAGCUGCUGGCCACCUGCACAAGAUCCAGCCGGUCGCCAUUUCAGCGUGGACCAAGAAUGGGCACACAGGCCUCAGCUCUAGGUAGGUACCAAUCGCUGAGGACUGGCUGCGGAGGUCUGCAGGUGCAGUCCGAUGGGUGCAGUUCUCCUGCCGCUGAGGUCAGGCCGCCUCCGUGAGUGACUACGACAGAAGGUACACCAGAGGCUCUGUCCUGCAGUCUGACCCACAGGCAGGGGCGGCAGCUCGGAGGCCCCAGCCCUACCCCUGCUCUCUCUUGCCACAGAGGCCCCGCUGUGCGCCUCUGUCAGCUCCGAGCUCCUCUUCCUGAUGAUCAUCAUCAUCCUCUGCCUCGUGGGCGUGGCAUUCCCACUCUGUGCUGCUGUCCUCGUCCUCGUCCUCCUCGCCCAAAAGGAAGCUUCUGGGGGAAGCGUCCCGGUGCUGCCACCGGGAUCGCACCUUCUCUCUCUUCCGGAGCAGACGGGUCGGUUCAGGUGCCUGCUCCCGCCCUGAUGGUGGCGCCAGACUCUGACACUGAAGCCCUCGCUCCUUCUUGCGUUUGUACUCCAUUAUUUGCUUAUUCAGCGCCUCGUGGUCAAUCCCACACAGAUUUGGGUGUGCGGCUGGUUCUGGGGAGUCAUGUGGUACCUGGGCAUCGGCGUUCCUGUGAGAGAAGAGAAGCAAGCCUUCACACAGAGCCCAAACCACACUCCAAAGCACUGUGUAAGGAGCAAACCAUCUGCAUAGGACCCGUGCUACAUCUUCCCAUCUCUGACCGUAUCUGAGGGUGACAGGGAUGUAGCAAGGUGAUCCUGGACAGUGGCUCGGGGGACCAGUGUGUGCACCUGAGCGUGGUGGUAUAUAGACAGCCACCCAGAACAUACAGACCUGUGCUGGGUCCAGGGGCAGGCACCAAGGGGGCCAUGUGUGCUAGCAGAAGCACAGACUAGUAGAGCAGCCGCUGUGGCUAAAACAUCUGCCUCAGGUAACAGAGAGAUGUCCACGUGGCUCACCUCAAACCGUCCAAGUCGUCCCUUUCAUCUGGGGGUCCAAAGUCAGCCUCUGCCAGCAACCGAUCUACCUGAAAGGAAAGUAGGGGGUGGGGGGAGGAUAUGGUAGGCCACGCCCUCUGCUUGCAGGGUACAGAGUCAGGGCCUCGCACGCAGUCCAGCACAAGUCACCUGGCUUCAGCUAGCACCACUGCGGGCGGGCGCCUUCUCAAUGCUGCGAUCCACCCCCCUCCCUGUUCCAUUAUCUUGUCCCAAGUUCCCUGACGACAACUGAGGCUCCCUGAGUUUGCAACAUUAGACAAGUCUCUGAGGAAAAUAAACACGGGCUGAAUUACAUAACU